GACUCAUUAGAAUAGUGGUAGUUCAUCCCCCUUCAGGAUAGGUACAGAAUCGUGGCUAUGCUGAAGGGGAAGGCAGAAGUUCGAAUCUUCUAUGAGUCA
rnacentral:tRNA from 1 species